UUACGAUGCAUUGAUGGUAAAAUAGAGGGGGAGGGGGUGUGUGAAGAAUAACUAUUCCUCACUCAGGGUGACGAAUAGCGCGACCCUAUAUAUAUAUAUAGAGAGAGAGAGAGAGAGAGAAGUUGCUUUCCUAACAGUACUAAGCUUGAAGUUGAAUAUUUUUCUCUGAAGGAGUGGCUUCAUUUACAACGGAGGAUACAAGUCUUUUAUAUAGGACAAAGAACCGACUAUAGGCUGCACAUUACGUGCACUACAAACUAGUAAUAGUGUGUGAACAUGGACUUCUAAGUCCAGCCACACUGCUAUCCUAUCCUAGCCUUACAGGCUCAAUAAAUGCCUGCCAUCUUAUCCUGCCAAGUGCAGGUUAUCCUUGACCCUUGUGGUUGCUUGGAGAAGAGUUUCCUUGGAGACUGGGUUGAAAACAACAUCUCUUACACUUGGAGGAGUAUUCUCAAAGGUUGCGAUCUUAUCAAAUAAGGCUUGAUAUGGCGUAUAAAUGGCCAAAACGUUAAUAUCUGGGAAGAUCCAUGGUACCAAGAGGGAUUACUAGAAGACCUAGUAGUACAGUUAGAGGCCAAAUUUUACUUCAGAAGGUCUGUGAUCUGAUCGACCCUAUUUCCGGACAGUGGGACCAAGAUCUUGUUCAACAAGUAUUCAAUGCUGAUGUUGGCCCUCAUAUUCUGAGUAUUCCAAUUAAGGAGGGAUUUGAUGAUCUUCCAGCUUGGCAUCCCGAUCCGAAAGGUCAAACAUCAUCUUGCACUGUAGCAAAUCCGACAACAAGCACUGCAAUGGUUUGGACCAAGCUUUAGAGUUUGAGAAUGCCUAGGAAAAUCAUCAUGUUCCUUUGGAGAUUGAGACACAACACCCUUCCUGUCCGGUUAAAUCUUAAACGUCGUGGAAUUGACCUGGAUACCAUUUGCCUGAUGUGCAAACACCUCGACGAGGAUGGUGGCCAUGCCUUCCUCAAAUGUAAAUUUGCGAAGGCCGUUUGGCGUGAAGCUAACCAAGAGCAUGUAAGGGGAUUGGUGCUCAGUUGCACUGAUGCAAAACAAUCAGUCGAAGUUCUGCUAUGCUUGGAGAAUGUGACAUCCAUGUUCUGCAUUUGUUUGAUGUGGAAUUUGUGGAAUGCUAGAAAUGCUGUCAAUAAUGGUGAUAGGUGCCCUUCAGCAGCGGCGGUCGUAUCCUGUAGUGCUGUACAGGUUACAGAAUUUUCUGAACACCUUCGUAUACCUUCAUGUUCGGUUGUAGCGCCUGCUGAGCGCUGGUCUAAGCCUCCUGAUGAUUUCCUAAAGAUGAACACUUGUGGCACGUUCCUAAAAGAUAACAGUACAGGAGGUUGGGGCUUUUGUGCAAGGGAUGCUUCUGGAGAUGUCAUCGGUGCUGGUAUGGGCCACAUCCACUUCCUGAAGGAUGCUUUGCAUACAGACGAUAGCUUGUCUGAAGGCGAUUGAGUUCGCGACUGAAGUUGGGUUUGGGCGUAUCAUCAUUGAAACAGACUCGACUGUGCUCGCUUGGGCUCUUCUUUCCAAUGAAUUGGAUACUGCUUGUAACGGAGUUCUCUUUUGGGAGGCAAAAUUUCUUCUUUUUACUAGCUUUAUCGAGUUUAAGGUGCUUGCGUGUAAGCGUGGCUGUAACUCAGUGGCGCAUGUCCUGGCUACUCCAUGGUGCCCAUAUGUCCCAGGGAGGUACCAUGUAUUAUCUCUGGUGGCUAGCAAUCUAGCUGCUUCUGUAUGUUAAUAAUAAAGCCAGGUUACUGUUUAAAAAAA